CGAUGAUGAGGAGGAGACCAUCUCUCUGGAUUCCAGAAGGCAUGAGGACCCAGAUGCUAUACAGUGGGUAAACCAGCCUGGCAACAUAAUGGUAUGGCCUCUGAAGACCCCCAAGACCAACUGGAUGAGGCUAUUAAAAAGGCAGAACGCCUUGCCGAGGAGCUCAACCAAGAAAAGGACCCACAAGCCCAACUGGACGAGGCCAUUAACGAGGCAAAAAGACUGGCUGAGGAGCUCAACCCAGAACGGGAAAAUAAGAAGAAAAAGACAAACAAGCCUCCAGGGAUUAGGUUCAGAUGGAGACAAAGGGAUGAGAGAGGACAGAUUGAUCCUCAAACCAGGAAGGCAACUACAUCCACUUCUGUUGCUCCAAGGGCCAGUACAUCAAGAGCCAGACUAGUGCAACCUUCUGGACCAGUCACUGAGGAGGAAGAAUCAGAGACAAGGACCAGUGGAUUGGAAUCCACUCCAGUUUUAAACAUUGAUGAAGAAAUAGCAAUACUUUAUAGAGAAAUGAACAUCCUCCUAGCUGACUUAGAAGACCCUGAGUGUUCAAAUCCUACUGUGCCUGGUGCAUCAUCACACAGUUGGAGUGUGAGGAAGGAACUCUCACAGGAGGGAGUCCAGGCCUGAGAUUGUAGAUUCUCUGCUGGCUGCAGAGCAUGUUUCUCAGAAGAUCUGUCAGUCAUGCAAUGUGAAAAGGGCUAUUCUGUGAUGUAGAGACUCUGCCGAAACAGCUUCACUACGAAGACAGCGAUGUCUCUACACCUGCAAAGUUCCCCCUGCACAACAGAGAGUCCAUGAUCGAGGGGUUCUACAUGCCCUUCCUCCAACUACAGCCAUAUCUCUCUCCACAGUGAUGGCAAAUAUACACUUCAUGAACAGGAGGUGAUAUGUGGUUGCCUGACAAGCACCAUCCAUGUUGGCCCUGGGAAACAUAUAAUACUCGUAGGAAUAAAUGGUCACUACAAUGUCACAGUGCCUGUGCUUACCUGCACAACUUGUCUUAGCACCUGGACAGCAAACUUGGCAGAUCUGAUAAAGAAUGGGUACUGGCCUGCCACUGUCAACUGUGACACCAUAUACCAGGUAGAUGUGUUCAGCUCUUUUGAGGAGCUGGAAGUGUCAGCCCCAGGAAUGUCCCGUCUGGCGUUUAUGUGGAUUUUGGAGCAGCGAACAGACUCCUUUGGCAGGCAGAACGGAAUGAUCUGUGGGGACACUUUUCAAAAAAGCUUCGAGUGGACGUACUGCCGCUCUGAAAUUGAUUAGGUCUGUGAUAUACAGGACUUUGACUGCCCAGCCUGUUCACCCAGCAUGCUUGCAGUGUCAGUGGACGGGAACAAGAAGCUGUAUCGAUUCAAAAAAGGGUUAUGGAAAAGGAGUAUGUGGAGCAUCCCAGUGGACAGCAGCUAAAGAGUUCAAGGAAAACAAACGACAAACUUGAUGAAGAGGGACUCGAAGUAGCCGUCUCUCGCCAUGGAAUACUUCUAAGGAGCCUCAACAUGAUGCGUGGAGAGAUAUUUGCAUAUCCACUGUUCUUGCAGAAGGAAUUGUCUGGCAGCAGGAACAUACAAUUCAUGUGUAUGUGAUCUGCAAAUUUUGGCCAUACCUGACCAAAGUUGCCCUUCAUUGUCCAGAGCUCGCCACUCUUCUAGACAUGAAGCCACUUUCUGUCAUGCAUACAAAGGCACAUCGUUUGAAAUGCGAGAUUAAGUGGGGAGGACGGAAUCAGGAAGGAGCUGGCACAACUCUGGGGGAGGAAGAGGAACAAGGGAACAGCUUCUUGUCGAGGGCUGCAAUCUGUUCCAAGCAAAUGUCCAAAGGAGGCUGGCAAUUGAAUCAGUCGGAAGCUGGGAGCAGAGGUCUCUUCUCCAUGCUUCAGAGGAGAGUCAGCAGCCUCAGAAGACACCAGGACUUUGUCAAACUGAUAUACAGCAAAGCUAUGGGCCAAGACACCUCCCUCCUAGAAAAUAACUUCAUAGAUGACCUCCUGGAAGAGGACCUAGAUGACAUCUAUGACAGCAUCCACUAUCACAGACUGAAGGUGUUCGUUUGGGUGGGUGCAGUUUUGUAC
ensembl:lncRNA